rnacentral:lncRNA from 1 species
CGGUGACGUUUGGUCGAAAGAAAACAAACAGUCUGGUAGAGAUGGCUUUCUUUAUAGCAAGGCACCGAUGUCUUAAGGUCAUGUGACUUGGUGGAAGACAUUUGUGAUAUCGCUCUACGAUAAAAGCUGAAAAAUACAGUCUACAAAGAGGAAGACAAUCACAAACAAGAAAACAUCAGGCUUCAGUGUUCAUCGCUUUAAACGGUUGGAUAUUCUUUACGAAAACGAUCUUAGUCCAACUGAAGUUUGUUUCUUGAGACGGAAACGUCAGGCUUCAGUGUUCAUCUCCUUAGGACGGUUGGAUUUUCAUUUCAAGGUCGAUCACAGUAAAACUGGAGCUUCUUUUUUGAAACGGUAAGCUAUCU